ensembl:lncRNA
AAAAGGAUAAUUUAUUGAAUAAUUAAAGUGAUGAAUAACUGUUAACAAUUAGAGUUUGGGGUAUAAGCAAAAGAAACUGACAUUAAGCAAAAAAUGAAUUUAUUGGAAGAUAUAUUAGUUUCCAGCAGCUGUUGUAACAAACUCAGACAAACCUGAUGGCGUAAAACAGUAGAAACGUACUCUCUGACAGUUCUGGAGGCCAGAAAUCCAAAAUCAAGAUGUCAGCAGGGCCACCCUCCCUCUAGAGGCUCUAGGGGGAAACCCUCUCCUUUUCUCUUCUAGUUUGUGGUGGUUGCCACCAUUCUUGGCUUUCCUUGGCUGUGGCUGCAUCACUCAAGUCUCUGCCUCUGAUCUCACUUCACUGUCUGUGUAUGUCAAAUCUUCCAAUGCCUUUGUCUUACAAGGACACUUUUGAUGACACUUAGGCCCACCAGGAUAAUCCAAGAUGACCUCAUCUCAAGAUCCCUAACUUAAUCACAUUUGCAAAAAGACCCUUUCCCAAAUAAGGUAACAGUUACAGGUUCCAGAGAUUAAAAUAUGGACAUAUGUUUGGGGCCACCAUUUGGCCCACUACAGAAGGGUAUCUGUGAAAUUCACCUGAUCAAAGGAAUAGCUGACUGACGAGACCUCAGGAAAUAUAGGAAUGAGGGGAGCUCUAGGGACCUCAGUAGCAAGACUCAUGAACCUUCUGUUUAAAACACUGCCACCCACAUGAUCUGCUCCAGUCACCUUUCUUCCCUGUAUCAUCCUGCUCACAGUUCCAAUCCCAGGAGAGAGUCUGAUUUCACUUGAGUCAUAUGCCUCUCUCUUGGGAGGGAUGGAGGGCAAGGUACUGUAUUCGUAUUUGCAGCAGUUGGAGGAAAGGUACUUACCCAAAGAAAAGACCACGUAUUGUCACCAAAAUAAAGGCAAAAGGUAUUAAUAGGAAAAAAUAGCAUACCAUACACUCCCAUCCUUUUCCCAUACACACAGAUUUAUGCAUGUUUCUAACAUAAGGAAACUCUCUUAUAUAUAACCAAAAUAUACUGAUCUCCCCAAAGGAAAGACACCCUAUGGGGCAUAUCCUGUUCAUGAAUCCAGCUAUAAGUUCAUUCUUCCACUGGUACCACUAAUUCUGUCUCAGUAUCCUGUAAUAUAAGGAAUAAAUAGUAAAUGUAACUGCCACCAGCAUACCCUAUAUAUACUAGAGGAAAGGAAAAGAAAAACACAGCAAGGAGGAAAAGAGGUCAUUGCUAUGUCCUCAUUUCUGUAAUGGUCAUAAGGCUGCCGCUGGCAUUUAUAACAUCCCUUCUCUGUGAACCAUGUCAUGCCCCCUGCCUUUGGCCAGCACUUUAGUUGGUUGGGAUUCUUUGUUUGAUGGGGUGACCUAAACCUUUAUUCGUAGAGAAUCUGAGCACUUGUUAGUCCUGCUGGCAUGUGAAGAUUCCCCAAGGAAUUCCAUGGAGUUACUUGCAUUCCUUUCUGCCUACUUUGUGUAGCAGUAACCGUAUUUCCCCUUGACAGGGUGGUUGAUUACCCUAAUCAAGAUUGUAACUCCCUUUAUACACACCUAGGGAAAAGAAAAGCUCAGAAAGUCCAGGUGACAGUCUCUCUAAGUAAGCAGAACUCAGAGUCAUAGGGAUAGGAAGCAAUAGAUUUGCAAGUGGGUCAUUGGGUUUAAUCAGAAAACAGGCAACUUGAUUGAAAGCAAACUUCUCAUGCAAUCAACUUACAUCAUUAGGGUCUACGUGAGCCAAAUCCCAUGUACCCAUGGAUACACUUGAUGAUGGAGUCCUUAUAGGCAUGCUUGACUUUCUAUCUGGAUGGAUGAUCGAUCGUAGUUGUUCACAUUGGGUCAUAAGAUUACCUGAUGUCCUAUAGUUAGGCCUUCAUUCACCAUCAAAGCCCAGUAGCAAGCCAGGAUCUGAUAGCAGUAGAACCAACAAAAUCCAAAUAGCAUUGUACUUCUUUUGUGGUGACAGAAGUACUACACAUAUGUCUAGGGUACUGGACACUCUAAGAAACUUCACUGAGAUGCACUGUAUUUAUCUCCCACCUUGCAAAACGUGUGUCUUACCUACAGAGCUGAAGUGUCUGCUUCUUUGUGCUCUCCAGGCCCUGUUAAUGUGAUUUAGUCAACUGAUUUAGCAAAAUUAGUUUGCUGUCUCUUAGAAUAGGGAUAUUCGGGGAAUCAAGGUCUUUCUGGUACAGAGCUGGAGAACAGAGGUAUGCCUGAGUUAGAACAGUAAAUGAAAACUCUUAUCCCUUCUAGGUAACAGCAAAAUGCUUCCAGUGGUUUCUGUUCCUCAGAGUAGAGAGUGAAACCAGUAGAUGCAUGACUCCAGGGACUGUAAUCAUGAGCAUUUAUCUAACACAACAGUUAAAAAUGGAAUUAUCACCUGACUAAAAUAAUCCACUGUCAUUUUCCAAGACCCAUCUAAUUUUGCACCUAUCAGACAGAGGAAAUUAAUGGUGUUUUAAUUGGAGUCAUCAGCCUGCAAGGUCUUUGGUAGAAACACUAAUUUUUGCAGCCUCCCCUAAAGAUAUGUUACUAUCGUUGACUUUUCUAUUUUGAAACAGUUGUUCAGUUGGAUUCUAUUGGCCUUUUAUAUCACAAUGGCCCUCACUUCAUGGGUCAGAGAGCCAAUAGGGGGAUCUUUUCCAAUUAUCUCUCUGAAACUGCUGAUACAGAAUAGUUUUGGAAUUCCUCUGGGCCUCCAGUGGCAUGGACAAAAGCCAAAACACGAUUUUUCACAUGAGAUGGACCUACAGUGGUACUCUUGAACCCAAGAAACUGAUAUUAGCUCGAAGUCUUCAUCAAGGUUCCCUGAAUGUGGUAUUUCCCUUUCCCCAGUAUCCAGUUACCUUGGGAAAUUGCCACAGAUCCUUUUGGAGAAGGCAAGAGAAAUAGUUACAUUACACUCAUGUAGAAUAGCAGAGUCCUUCCUCAAAGGCGAGCAGCAUAUCCUUCAAUCAAAGGGCUUUAGAUCAUUAAACGCAAGCCCAGUGUUAGGUGAUGAUCUGUAACUAUCAUAGUGGCUCAAGUCGUGACUUUUUUAUUUUUGCCAGAACUGGAGAGUGUUUUUGGUUUUUGUCUUGCUUUGUUUUGUUUCUUAUGUUUUGCUGGUUAAACAAAUCAAGUAAGACUUUAGUGGGCUGCCUUUAACUUUUUAGGGCCCUACACUGUGGCAGUCUGCCAUGGUUACUACUUGAGACAGUCACUACUACAGUUACUACUGUUACUGCCUGAGACGUCAUUACAAGACUGAAUGAAGGGAGGAACAUAAAAAUGAAAACUUAAGAUAAAAGAAACUGUUUUAAAGGAAGGGGCCAUGGGAAGAAGAAGAGAGCUCCCUGCCUCUAGUGAGCAAAGGCAGCCCCUGAGCUUCCACAGCCCCUCCUAUUUAUUGGGUAACAAGAGGAGGGAGGAGGAGGUAACGACUGGUCAGUUGCUUAACUGAUCACAGGUUCAUAUUGUUACUAACAGGCUUCAGAUGUACCUAUUCAUAAGAAACACUAUGCUUGGGGCGUGACAGCCCUCAGCAUUCCUUCUGGGUGACAGAUGCAGUUUGUCAGUUUGCCAACAUUCUGCAUUUAUGAGAAACAGUUUACUGGUUACUCAUAUAGCCUCCAGUAGUAUACUGAGUUGAUCACGACCCUCAUUCUUUCAGCCUGUAACACUACACCAUGAGUUCUUGCCUCAUACAGAGCCUACUGAAUAUUACAAUGAUCAUUCCCACUUCAUUUCGGAGGACGAAGUGCCAACGCCUGGCCUCCCACAUCUUUGCAUUCUUCUUCCCCUCUGAAUCAGGCAAACUAUUUCAAAUUGCAGCCUCUCCACCCAGCAUUCUUGACUUUCCUCAAAGCAAGGGUAAAGUGUGAGGGCUACAGUUAGAGGUAUUUGUGGGAAUGAGGCACAAAAUAGAUGCAAUCCAGCAUUCUGUCUUCAGAAAUAUUUGAAUCCCUUCCUCUACAUGAUGCCAAGGGAUUUGGGGCCCUUAAAUUCCAUUUCGCAUGGGCCAGCAUUUGUUUUAAGUUUGCAUUUUGUUAGAGCCUUGCCAGCUCCUGGAGCUAGCACAGGGAAUGCCAAAUAAUCCCUGGUAAGUGAAUCCGUAUCAAGAAUAUCAGCCUGAGCCAAAAUUACAUUCCCCCUUCCUUGAUAAAACACCACAAAAAUCCAUUUCCACAGGUAUUUCCCCAAAUUUUUGAUGGUGUCAGUUAAGAAGUUUCUGCAAUUCUGUAUAGGUCCAGGAUUUUUACCUACUGCGUCUACUUGUCAUGCUCUAGGCCAAACUGAUCCCCACCUUCCAGCUAAGUACCCUUGAGGGAUGGGGCAAAGCAGGAAAUUGUGAGCUUUCUCCUGUAAGAAAAAGUGUGAACUAUUUGCACCUGGUGUUUUAGAGAGCUUUCGAUUUUCUCCCACAUCUCUCAGAUGAUCAUUCCACUUGUCACAGUCCCGCACCCUAUUAAUGCCUAACUUCACAAAGUGCAGCAGGGCCGUGAAUUCAGCAACCUGCACAAUCAGUUGCCAACUUUGGUAUUUGGAGAACUCAGCUGUACUGCAAGUCAUAAGACUCUUUUACUGUAGUCAUAGAAAUACUGUCUGUUCAUUCUGUAUGAAAAAAAAAAGGCAUUGGGGCUUCCUUUGUUGACUCUCCCUUUAUAUUAUUCUGUGCAGUUAGAAACAAAAUGCUCUAUCACACAGCUUGAACAUUCCUCACUCCCUUAAAAUUAACUGUGACACGUGUUAUCCCUUCUCUGAGAGCUUCAUCCUCAGUGGUCAGAUGCUAUGAAGUAAUGUAAGACAUAGGUCUUUACCACUGCAGACCACUGCUGGCUUCCCAGACUAGAGCAUGAACAACAACCUCAUUGUAUUUUGCCCCAUCACAGCUCAAUAAUUUUGAAUAUCCCACAUUUCCUAGAGGAUAUGGUGUCUACAACUCAACUCUAGUUCCAAUUUCUUUAUCAGUUAGGAAUCUUUGGUUGCAAAUAACAGAAUCCAACACUGGAAAACUUAAGCCAAAAAAUGACUGCACUGGAAAGGUAUUGGAUAGGAUCAAAGUCAAAUUAAACAAUGAGGCUUUGAGAAAGACAGCAAUUCGAGCAACAUAGGGAUUGAGGUAGGUAAAACUCAUAAAUCACCUCUUUGCAGUACUGCAAUUAAAAGAGCUUAGUGACAACUGCCUCCAUUGUAUAAAUCACUCUGCUCACGCUAAAAAAUUCCCUGAAGACUGAGUCUAACUAGACUGGUUUGGGUCAUAUGCUCAUCACAUGAUUUGGGGGCGAGAUGGGAGGAACCAUCACAGACAGUCCCACCAGGACAUAGAUGGCAGAGGGGUAACUCCCUGAAGGAAAAUGGGGGUCAUUUCAUUAAAAUGAGGGGAAAGGAUCCAGGGGAGAUAAAACCAACUGAUAUCUUUUACAAUACCACUGAGUGAGAAUGGCAGCCAGGUGGCUUGGUUUCAGCAACAAUGAAAUCAAGAAUGAGAGACAGAGAAAGAGAGAGAGAGAGUGAUUGAUUUCUGUAUCACAUGGUAGAUAACAGGGUUACCAACAUCUCCCAAUUUGGUAUCUUGUAGCGCCUCCACCAGAGAACUUCCCAUCUCUAGUUUGAAAAAUCUCUGCUUGGCCCAGAGAUUGGUCACCUUGGGAAGGUGACUGGAUCACUCAACUGUGGUGGAGGGGCUGGGUCAUGUGAACCUAUGGCUGGAGUAGGAGUCAAGCAGUUCCCGAACAGGGAGCACAGGGCAGAUCUCAGUAAUCCCUUGCAGUCUUGCUCUCUUGGUCUUCAGUUUCAACUUCUGUAAAUGGAGGGAUAACAUCCAGAGAUGUUAAGGAGCAACUGGGGGCAUGUAGGACAGCUCAGCACAUCUGGGCUCUGAGGUGUGAUGUGCUUAUUGUUAAUGAUAAACUGUCUAAUAGUUUCCCCCUCUUUGCAGUGACCUCAAGGUGGCGACUUCCUUUGUGAGACAUAAUACUCCUCAGGGAUUAUCAGAUUUAAUAUCUGCCCUCCAGCCCCAGUUUACAGAUCAGAAAAGAGAGAGCCAGAAGUCCAAGGUCACACAAGAAGCAAAUCCCAUUCCUGAGUCCCUUCGAGUAAGAAGAGCCGUUCAGCUCAAAUAAGGGCCAAGCAGGGUGUUUACACUGGGACAUCGGAGUGGAAGAGACUCCAGUUGACUCAUACAGUACUUUUUGAAGCCCCCAAGAGUGAAGAUAGCCUAGCAAAUAAUAGUCAUCCUCCACAUAUCCUUGUCACUAUAAUUUGCAAAGUGGCUUCACAUACACUAUCUCAUAUACUUCUCACAACAACCCCACAAGACAACAGCAACAAUAAUAAAAUAGUAGUAUCACCACUGAACACAUGAAAAAACCAAGAUCCAUAGUCAGACAGUUAAAAAGUAGCAGAUCAGGGAUUCAAACUCAGGCUUUUUAAUACCAGAUUGUACUCACUUGGCACCACUUUCCACUAUUACCACGUUGGUAAACUUAACUCCCCAGGCACCACUGAAGGAAGUAGCUUUGAAGUGUGGGUCCUAUAAUAAGUUUCUUCUAUCUGAAAGGCAGCCCUGAGGUGCUGGCUGGGAUGGUCCUCACUACCAGACCUCAUACUUCAGGCCAGUCCGGC